UACGUAGGGAGCAAGCGUUGUCCGGAAUCAUUGGGCGUAAAGCGCGCGUAGGUGGCCCCAUAAGUCCGCUGUGAAAGGUCAAAGGCUCAACCUUUGAAAGCCGGUGGAUACUGUGGGACUAGAGUACGGAAGAGGCGAGUGGAAUUCCUGGUGUAGCGGUGGAAUGCGCAGAUAUCAGGAGGAACACCAAUUGCGAAGGCAGCUCGCUGGGACGUUACUGACGCUGAGACGCGAAAGCGUGGGAGCAAACAGG
rnacentral:rRNA from 1 species